rnacentral:rRNA from 1 species
UACGGAGGGUGCAAGCGUUAAUCGGAUUUAUUGGGCGUAAAGGGCGCGUAGGCGGGUAUGUAAGUCAGAUGUGAAAUCUCGGAGCUCAACUCCGGAACGGCAUUUGAAACUGCAUGUCUAGAGGGUAGACGGAGAAAGUAGAAUUCCACAAGUAGCGGUGAAAUGCGUAGAUAUGUGGAAGAAUACCAGUGGCGAAGGCGACUUUCUAGUUUAUACCUGACGCUGAGGCGCGAAAGCAAGGGGAUCAAACAGG